CCUACGGGUGGCAGCAGUGGGGAAUAUUGGACAAUGGGCGAAAGCCUGAUCCAGCCAUGCCGCGUGUGUGAAGAAGGCCUUCGGGUUGUAAAGCACUUUCAGUGGGGAAGAAAGCCUUGGGGCUAAUACCCUCGAGGAAGGACAUCACCCACAGAAGAAGCACCGGCUAACUCCGUGCCAGCAGCCGCGGUAAUACGGAGGGUGCGAGCGUUAAUCGGAAUUACUGGGCGUAAAGCGCGCGUAGGCGGUCUGAUAAGCCGGUUGUGAAAGCCCCGGGCUCAACCUGGGAACGGCAUCCGGAACUGUCAGGCUAGAGUGCAGGAGAGGAAGGUAGAAUUCCCGGUGUAGCAGUGAAAUGCGUAGAGAUCGGGAGGAAUACCAGUGGCGAAGGCGGCCUUCUGGACUGACACUGACGCUGAGGUGCGAAAGCGUGGGGAGCAAACAGGAUUAGAUACCCCAGUAGUC
rnacentral:rRNA from 1 species